rnacentral:rRNA from 1 species
GAUAAACGCUGGCGGCGCACAUAAGACAUGCAAGUCGAACGGACUUAACUCAUUCUUUUAGAUUGAGAGCGGUUAGUGGCGGACUGGUGAGUAACACGUAAGCAACCUGCCUCACACUGGGGGAUAGCAGCUGGAAACGGCUGGUAAUACCGCAUAAGACCACAGCACCGCAUGGUGCAGGGGUAAAAGAUUUAUCGGUGUGAGAUGGAUCCGCGUCUGAUUAGCCAGUUGGCGGGGUAACGGCCCACCAAAGCGACGAUCAGUAGCCGGCCUGAGAGGGUGAACGGCCACAUUGGGACUGAGACACGGCCCAA